rnacentral:rRNA from 1 species
GAUGAACGCUGGCGGCGUGCCUAAUACAUGCAAGUCGAGCGAACGGACGAGAAGCUUGCUUCUCUGAUGUUAGCGGCGGACGGGUGAGUAACACGUGGAUAACCUACCUAUAAGACUGGGAUAACUUCGGGAAACCGGAGCUAAUACCGGAUGAUCUUUUGAACCGCAUGGUUCAAAAGUGAAAGACGGUCUUGCUGUCACUUAUAGCUGGAUCCGCGCUGCAUUAGCUAGUUGGUAAGGUAACGGCUUACCAAGGCAACGAUGCAUAGCCGACCUGCGAGGGUGAUCGGCCACACUGGAACUGAGACACGGUCCAGACUCCUACGGGAGGCAGCAGUAGGGAAUCUUCCGCAAUGGGCGAAAGCCUGACGGAGCAACGCCGCGUGAGUGAUGAAGGUCUUCGGAUCGUAAAACUCUGUUAUUAGGGAAGAACAUAUGUGUAAGUAACUGUGCACAUCUUGACGGUACCUAAUCAGAAAGCCACGGCUAACUACGUG